rnacentral:pre_miRNA from 1 species
GGGGGGAGGUCGGAUCCUGGGCUGUGUCCCUGGCGCCCUGUGCUCCGGGGCCUGCGCUGUUGGAUUGGUGUUCGCAGCCCCCUCCGUGGAGCCCCCC